AGCUCCAAUAGCGUAUAUUAAAGUUGUUGCAGUUAAAAAGCUCGUAGUUGGAUUUCGGAGUGGGCCCGUUGGUCCGCCGCAAGGUGUGUUACUGACUGGUCUGCUCUUCUUCGCAAAGACUGCGUGUGCUCUUUGUUGAGUGUGCGUAGGAUUUACGACGUUUACUUUGAAAAAAUUAGAGUGUUCAAAGCAGGCUAUUGCUUGAAUACAUGAGCAUGGAAUAAUGGAAUAGGACUUUGGUCCCAUUUUGUUGGUUUCUAGGACCGAAGUAAUGAUUAAGAGGGACAAUUGGGGGCAUCCGUAUUUCGUUGUCAGAGGUGAAAUUCUUGGACCGUUUGAAGACGAACUAAGGCGAAAGCAUUUGCCAAGAAUGUUUUCA
rnacentral:rRNA from 1 species